GUCAAGUGGGAUCGAAGCAUGAUACAAGUGUUUUGUAUGAUGCAAUGCAUGUGGACCACGACUUCUUCCCACACCCUCCCAAAGGUAAAUAUUAUGUUGUUGAUGCGGGUUAUCCUAAUCGCAUUGGAUACUUGGCACCAUACAAGAGUGAGAGAUAUCAUUUGCCGGAAUGGCAUAGAGAAAGAUACAACAAGUAUGUGGCGCCAUCCGAUGGAUCAACUUCAAUGCCUAAUGCACCUACUAUGGAUAAUUUUCGUGAUGAGUUAGCGACGGCUAUUUGUACGAAUUGGACCUAGUCAUGUAAUA